rnacentral:rRNA from 1 species
GUUAACACGGUGGGCCAAACUACCCUUCGGAACACAAUACCCUCGGGAAACUGAGGCUAAUAGUGUAUAUCGUACCACCACUGGAAUGAGUGGUACGCCAAACGCUCCGGCGCCGAAGGAUGUGGCUGCGGCCGAUUAGGUAGACGGUGGGGUAACGGCCCACCGUGCCAAUAAUCGGUAUGGGUCAUGAGAGUGAGAACCCAGAGACGGAAUCUGAGACAAGAUUCCGGGCCCUACGGGGCGCAGCAGGCGCGAAACCUUUACACUGCACGACAGUGCGAUAGGGGGAUCCCAAGUGCACAGGCAUAGCGCCUGUGCUUUUCGGCACCCUAAGGCGGUGCCAGAAUAAGGGCUGGGCAAGACCGGUGCCAGCCGCCGCGGUAAUACCGGCAGCCCAAGUGAUGGCCGAUCUUAUUGGGCCUAAAGCGUCCGUAGCUGGCCGCGCAAGUCCAUCGGGAAAUCCACCUGCUCAACAGGUGGGCGCCCGGUAGAAACUGCGUGGCUUGGGACCGGAAGGCGCGACGGGUACGUCCGGGGUAGGAGUGAAAUCCCGUAAUCCUGGACGGACCGCCGAUGGCGAAAGCACGUCGCGAGAACGGAUCCGACAGUGAGGGACGAAAGCCAGGGUCUCGAACCGGAUUAGAUACCCGGGUAGUCCUGGCCGUAAACAAUGUCUGCUAGGUGUGGCUCCCACUACGAGUGGGUGCUGUGCCGUAGGGAAGCCGCUAAGCAGACCGCCUGGGAAGUACGUCCGCAAGGAUGAAACUUAAAGGAAUUGGCGGGGGAGCACUACAACCGGAGGAGCCUGCGGUUUAAUUGGACUCAACGCCGGACAUCUCACCAGCAUCGACUGUAAUAAUGACGAUCAAGUUGAUGACCUUAUCCGAGUUUCAGAGAGGAGGUGCAUGGCCGCCGUCAGCUCGUACCGUGAGGCGUCCUGUUAAGUCAGGCAACGAGCGAGACCCGCACCCUUACUUGCCAGCAGUACCGCGAGGUAGCUGGGGACAGUAGGGGGACCGCCGUGGCUAACACGGAGGAAGGAACGGGCAACGGUAGGUCAGUAUGCCCCGAAUGUGCUGGGCAACACGCGGGCUACAAUGGUCGAGACAAAGGGUUCCUACUCCGAAAGGAGACGGUAAUCUCAGAAACUCGAUCGUAGUUCGGAUUGUGGGCUGCAACUCGCCCACAUGAAGCUGGAUUCGGUAGUAAUCGCGUGUCACAAGCGCGCGGUGAAUACGUCCCUGCUCCUUGCUACUACUAC